rnacentral:rRNA from 1 species
UACGAAGGGGGCUAGCGUUGUUCGGAAUCACUGGGCGUAAAGGGCGCGUAGGCGGCCGAUCAAGUCGGGGGUGAAAGCCUGUGGCUUAACCACAGAAUGGCCUUCGAUACUGUUUGGCUUGAGACCGGAAGAGGUUAGUGGAACUGCGAGUGUAGAGGUGAAAUUCGUAGAUAUUCGCAAGAACACCAGUGGCGAAGGCGGCUGACUGGCCCGGUACUGACGCUGAGGUGCGAAAGCGUGGGGAGCAAACAGG